AGCCAAAGUGUUGAGUAUGUACAGAUGUGUUCAUCUGUGCAAUAAUUAAACUUUGGCAUAUUAAAAUCAUGGAUUCAUUAAUGAAUAGCCGCAUACAUGUGGUGCUUCAUUGAAGUACAUGAUACAAUA
rnacentral:snoRNA from 1 species